rnacentral:rRNA from 1 species
UACGGAGGGUGCAAGCGUUAUCCGGAUUCAUUGGGUUUAAAGGGUGCGUAGGCGGAAUUGUAAGUCAGUGGUGAAAGCCUGCAGCUUAACUGCAGAAUUGCCAUUGAUACUGCAAAUCUUGAGUACAUUUGAUGUGGGCGGAAUGUGUCAUGUAGCGGUGAAAUGCUUAGAUAUGACACAGAACACCGAUUGCGAAGGCAGCUCACAAAACUGUAACUGACGCUGAGGCACGAAAGCGUGGGGAUCGAACAGG